UACGUAGGGGGCAAGCGUUGUCCGGAUUUACUGGGCGUAAAGCGUGCGCAGGCGGCUUCUCAAGUCAGGGGUGAAAGCCCAGAGCUCAACUCUGGAAUUGCCUUUGAGACUGAGUGGCUUGAGUACGAGAGAGGUGAGUGGAAUUCCCAGUGUAGAGGUGAAAUUCGUAGAUAUUGGGAAGAACACCGGUGGCGAAGGCGGCUCACUGGCUCGUAACUGACGCUCAUGCACGCAGCGUGGGGAUCAAACAGG
rnacentral:rRNA from 1 species